rnacentral:rRNA from 1 species
CCUACGGGAGGCAGCAGUGAGGAAUAUUGGUCAAUGGACGAGAGCCUGAACCAGCCAAGUAGCGUGAAGGAUGACGGCCCUACGGGUGGUAAACUUCUUUUACAAGGGAAUAACACGAGGCACGUGUGCCUUUCUGCAUGUACCUUACGAAUAAGGACCGGCUAACUCCGUGCCAGCAGCCGCGGUUAUACGGAGGAUCCGAGCGUUAUCCGGAUUCAUUGGGUUUAAAGGGAGCGUAGGCGGGUCGUUAAGUCAGUUGGGAAAGUUCAGGGCUCAACCGUACAACUGCAGUUGAAACUGGAAGUCUUGAGUACAGAAGAGGCAGGCGGAAUUCGUGGUGUAGCGGUGAAAUGCAUAGAUAUCACGAGGAACCCCGAUUGCGAAGGCAGCUUGCUGGGCUGUGACUGACGUUGAGGCUCGAAGGUGUGGGUAUCAAACAGGAUUAGAUACCCGUGUAGUC